UGCUUGUCAAUGGGUCAUCUCCCUGGGAAAUGCAGCGCGUCCCCUUGAGUCAGGCCAAGGCUUUAUGGACAAGAGUUACAGGGCGUGGCUUAAUUCUCAGGGUUCCCUCUCCUCCUCCUCCUGCACCUGCCUCAGGUGUUUGGCUGCUGAGCAGAAUGCAGUCAAGAUUCCGGUCCCCACCCCAGGCCCAUACCUUACCCUAGGGACUCCACUGAGGGUCCAGCCCAGACUUCUCUGCCCUCACAGGACCUGGUCAAGAGGAGCGAGCAGCCUCUUAGAAGCGCAUGAGCUAUACCAUGACAGGGACCCUCUGUGGGAUGUGGAAACCCAGAGGAGGCAUUAAACUCAACUGGGCUUGGGGGGACAGUGGCUAGGGAAGGCAUCCUGGAGGAGGCAACCUCUGAGUUGGCUACUGAAGGAUAAGCAGGUGUAUGCCACACAGAGAGGGAAGAUGGAGGGCAUCCCAGCCCGUCACCAGCUUGAGCAAGGCCUCCAAGGCCUAUAGUGGCCUGUGAGGGAGAGGAGAGCUGCAUACUUUGUUGUCCUAGAGCCCAGGUACAAGGCGGACAUGGGCUGUGCAGGAGGCCUUGUCAGUCCCUGUUUCCAGGGGAGGUAAGAUGGUGUCCAGGCAGAGGCGGAAACACCUGCAGAGGCCUCAGAGAAGGAAAGGCUAGCACCAUGGUGGAGGUGGGCCCUCUGGACAGAUGGGGCUGCAUCAGAGAGACAGCGUCUCUUCCCUAUGUUGCCCAGGAAGGCAAAGCUGGAGUUGCUGAAGUAACUUCCUCUGCACCGGUCCUGGGGCUGCUGCUCCCCAGCUCAGGCGAGUAGGUUGGGAACCUCCCCUAGCCUCAGUUUCCUCCUGGUAAAUGCAGCAUAAUUUCUUCACCGCCCUUUGGAGUGGAAGAAGAUUAUGUGGCCUGGAGACACCUAGUGCAGAAUAUUGUUUCCUGCACUCAAAGAUGAUGGUUUCUGUGGCUGGGCGCGGUGGCUCACGCCUGUAAUCCCAGCACUUUGGGAGGCUGAGGCGGGCGGAUCACCUGAGGUCAGAAGUUCGAGACCACCCUGGCCAACAUGGUGAAACCCUGUCUCUACCAAAGAUACAAAAAUUAGCCGGGUGUGGUGGUGCACACUUGUAAUCCCAGCUACUCAGGAGACUGAGGCAGGAGAAUCGCUUGAACCCAGGAGGCAGAGGUUGCAGUGAGCCAAGAUCAUGUCACUACACUCCAGCCUGAGCAACAGAGCCAGACUCAGUCUCAAAAAAAAAAAAAAAAAAAUGAUGGUUUCUGCAUUAGCACAAAACAACAUUUGUUUUUUUCCCAUAGGCCUUCAGACUUUUCAUAAAUUCUCGUUUUUUUUUU